UGUUGUCUGCUGUUGGAAGAACAUCUCUGAGGGACUGUGAAUAGAAUCUUUAUCUUCUGCUUAUAUACAACACUUACUCAUGGGCCUGUGGCACAAUUUCUAGCUGUACAAGGAUAUCAUGGUGUUUGAUAUGUUGAUGACAAUGAAACUAAUGACCAUGUUAACAUCAGUGGAAAAGCAAACCGGGAGAAGAAACGACAACAUCAUUUUCCAUCUUGAAGGCCUGCGUAGAGAAUUGCUAAGGGAACAACAAGUUUGAAAGUUCUUGCCAGUCUCUUCAAAUAUUCAAAGGACCAGGAAGGGGAACCUAGGAGUGGGAGAAGUGCCUGUGACUGAUAUGCACUGUCAGAUAGAAAUCCAGUUCAAAUGGGAAUCUGAAAUAGUGAAAUAGCAGAAAUCAUGAAUUACAUACUCUAUAAUCUGCUCUAAAACACAAACAUUUGAAUUUAAAAUGUGUUAAAUGCAAAACAGAUUUACUUACAAAAAGAAUCUUUCAGUAAAUUCUAAAUGUAGCUGAAAAGUGAUAUACAUGAAAUGUGUCAAAACAGUGCAAGUUAAGUUUGAUUUUUUGUUGUAGGCAAAACUGAAGAACUUGUAUCCAAUUCAUUUUCGGGAUGCGCAGUGUUAUUUGAAUU